rnacentral:rRNA from 1 species
GACUACUGGGGUAUCUAAUCCUGUUUGCUCCCCACGCUUUCGUACCUCAGUGUCAGUAAUAGUCCAGAAAGUCGCCUUCGCCACUGAUGUUCCUCCUAAUAUCUACGCAUUUCACCGCUACACUAGGAAUUCCACUUUCCUCUCCUACACUCAAGUCUUCCAGUUCACAGGGCGAACAAUGGUUAAGCCAUUGCCUUAAACCCUGCGCUUAAAAGACCACCUACGUACUCUUUACGCCCAAUAAUUCCGGAUAACGCUUGCCCCCUACGUAUUACCGCGGCUGCUGGCACGUAGUUAGCCGGGGCUUCCUCCUUGGGUACCGUCAUUUGUUUCUUCCCCAAGGACAGAGCUUUACGACCCGAAGGCCUUCAUCGCUCACGCGGCGUUGCUGCAUCAGGCUUUCGCCCAUUGUGCAAUAUUCCCCACUGCUGCCCCCCGUAGG